GGAGGAAAGCAGGGGAUCGAAAGACCUUGUGCUUUUGGAGCGGCCGAUGCCUGAUUAGCUAGUUGGUAAGGUAAAGGCUUACCAAGGCAACGAUCAGUAGCUGGUCUGAGAGGAGGACCAGCCACACUGGGACUGAGACACGGCCCAGACUCCUACGGGAGGCAGCAGUGGGGAAUUUUGGACAAUGGGCGCAAGCCUGAUCCAGCCAUGCCGCGUGAGUGAAGAAGGCCUUCGGGUUGUAAAGCUCUUUCGGUCGGGAAGAAAUAGUUGUGGCUAAUAUCCACAACGAAUGACGGUACCGACAUAAGAAGCACCGGCUAACUACGUGCCAGCAGCCGCGGUAAUACGUAGGGUGCAAGCGUUAAUCGGAAUUAUUGGGCGUAAAGGGUGCGUAGGCGGAUGUAUAAGUCAGAAGUGAAAGCCCCGGGCUUAACCUGGGAAUUGCGUUUGAAAAUAGAAGGCUAGAAGGGC
rnacentral:rRNA from 1 species